CUUGUUUUAAGCCUCAGCCAUACCACACUGCUUAAUCAAGGUUAAAUGCCUGUGUGAACCUAUGUUUUUUACCCCUCUGGCCACUCGGCCCUAAGCCAGGCUGAUCCGGCCUGCCUUCGCCCUCUCUCCACCAGAGACCAGCUGGUGUGGAUGAUUGAGGUGGCCUCCGGAUCGAGGCAGCUGCUGGCUUGCACUCGGAAAUUCAGUCCUCUCCAGGUAAACGUCUCCUUUGUGCUUUGCAGACAAGAGUUUCUUACACAUCUCGGGAAACUCGGGAGAAGUCAGUCUUUGGGCUGCACUUUCAUCCAGGAGGCAGUGUGGGAUGGAUUAAUGGCAACUCACAAUAAAUUAUUUAUCAGAUAA
rnacentral:lncRNA from 1 species